rfam:Salmo salar isolate Sally breed double haploid chromosome ssa22, whole genome shotgun sequence.
UGUAAUCACUAAUGUAAGUCGCUCUGAAUAAGAGCGUCUGCUAAAUGACUAAAA